GAAGAAGAAGAAGAAGAAGACAAAGAAGAGGCAAAAGCACUUUGGAAAGUAUUUUAAUGCCUCCUGAGAGGCAGCCGAGUGUGUUGGCUAAGCGCACAGACUUGGUGGUGGCAGUCAGCUCGCUGAGAGUGACGCCCAGUGUCGGUGCUCAUCUGCUGGGGGGAUCCUCAGCCUGUCACUUAGCCUCUCGGCCUCGCUUCUCCUCCGUAUGAAUGAAAUGGGGCACCCACUUCUGGGUGCUGGUGGGGUGGAGUCUGAGACUUAAUAUUUGGCCACGUGGUCACCAGCACACAGUGUUUGCUGAUCGUGUCCCUCCCCCGGUGACCUGUCCAGGAGGUAAGCAGGUACGUGAGGUGGUACUCAUUUUACGCAUAUGGAGCCUGAGGCUCAUCCAGGGCUUCUGAGGCAGGUGCGCACAGGACACCGGCGGCAGGACCUCAGGGGGCCCGCGUCCCGCUCGCAGCUCUGGCCACACGAGGCUGGGGUGCGCAGUCCCCGCCAAGCGCUCGGCCUGGGGUUGCCACGCAGAGGUCGCAUCGGAUCUCCAGACUGUUUAAGUUGGAUCUGGGUGGAUUAGAAGGACAGACAAAACUGAAGUCGAUUGCCAAUAUCUAAAAAAUCGGGGAUGUCACAACUUGUUUCUCUUGAAAUCCAUGUGUCUGGGUUUGUUUGGUAAGAUUUAUUUGUUUGCAAGUCACCUCCAGCCCCAACCCGGGACUCAAACCCGCAACCCCAAGAUCAAGAGCUGCACCCUCUGCAGACUGCGCCGGCCGCCCGCCGCUCUGGUUUCUCUUGAGAAACUGGAAGCUCAGGCAACACGGAGCCUGUGUCCCCCAUGGCAGGAGCUGAGCAGGGACCGUCCCCCUGGAGAUGGGGUUCACUCCACUCAGCCACACAUUUGCUCAUUUAUGUUCUCUGCCCCUGGUGCCACUGCCCCGGAGCAGACCUAACCCCGGGACAAGGACCCAUGAGAAGUUCCGGAGGCCCGAAGGCCAAGAUCAAAGUGUUGGCAGGGCUGUCCCCACUCCAAAGGGCCGAGAAUCUGCUUCGAGCCCCUCUCGCAGCCUCUGAUAGAUGUUUGGCAAAGUGGCUCCAACCUUCACACCGCAUUGUGCAAGUGCAGGUCUGUAUCCACACGUCCCCGUUUUAUAAGGACACCGGUCGUUGUGGACCGAAGGCCCGCCCUAUUCCAGUAUGACCUCAUUGUGACUAAUUACACUGGCUGCGACCUUGACCUUACAUCCAAGUAAAAUCACAUUCAACGUGAAUGUGGGGAGCGGGGGACACAAUUCAGCCCAUAACAGGUGAACUGCGGCUCAGAAAGUCUGCUCUGGUGAGGGAGCAGGAGGAUUUCGAAGCCCCUACCCAUCAGCCACCGCCUGCGGGCUGCCCUGAACAGCCACCCACGGACAACCACCCUCGGAAUGACCGUAAGUGACUCACUGGCUGCUGAGUGCCUUCCUUUCUCCCCGCACAAGCCACAGAGGAGGAUUGUACCCACCCACCCACCCCAUCCAUGUGCACCCCGACAUGGCUGUCACGCAAGGACCGUGGGCAGGUGGGGUGUGCAGAGCCCUCGUCCCCACCAGCCUCACGGACAGAGGAGCCCUGGGAGAAACAGGUUCUGGAGUCCCCAGGCUCUCCUUGUGGGUUCCCGGGCUAUCCAAACCCAGCCGGUGAAAAUAAGGAUCUGUAUGCAGCAGGGGCAUCAGAAAUGAGGAUACGUGGGAGGAACUGAGGUUCUAGUGCCAUGAGUCUGACUCAGCACCAGACCCGGGGUCGGGGAGGAGCAGUGGCUCGAGGCGCCACACACAGUGGUGCCAAGAACCAUCCCCACCCCGGGGCCACCUUGGCAUGUAAGUGCCGCGUGCUACGUGUGGCCUUGCUGUGGGCGCCUGCUAGGAGCUCGAAUCAGAGUGGGAGGGAGCAAUCUUCGGGGCGCCCACUGGCAGGUGGGGGCUGGGCAUAUUGAGAUCCGGGGCUUUCACGGAACCAUGGCCACCCUUGGAUUCCAUCUGGAGAAACCAAGCUCCUGCAGGCUCAGGGGUCAGUUCGACUUUCCUCACUGCCCGACGCGAGUGGCAAGUUACUGCCAUGAGGCCGGGUGCAGAGAACAAUCGGCCGUAGCUCCUGCCUCCCAGAGCCCUGAACGGGAUGGCCGGCCACCCCCAGGGCUGGGCACCUUGAAGGCCCAGUCUUCACCUCUCCGACUCCCUGCAGCUCCGCGCCUCCAGGACAUGGCACCCUUGAUUCAUAAUUUUAGCUCAAUUCACUUUUGGGAAAACUCAGCCACUGGCGGAGACCUUGAGAAAGGCCUGCCCCGACCUUGAUCGGCCCAGGCCUGGCCACUUCUGCCCAAGGGACCAGGCUCCCCCUAACCCCCCCAAUGGCCCCCAGCACAGUGGGGAGGCCCUCACCCAGCUGCGCCCAGGGGACUUCUCAUGGGAUCUCCAGAGCCACCCAACGCCCUUCUGAAGGGCCUCAGCUGGGGAGGGAGGGAGGCCCAGACCAGCAGGGUGAGGCAGGCCACCCUCCUCGGCUCAGUUUCUCACGCCACAGCUGCUCCCUGCAAUCCAGCUCCCGGUCUGGGUCAGGCUGUUGUCAAACAGUAACCAGAUCCCGAUGGACUCCUGCUUCGCACGCUCCAAAGGUUUGCCCUUGUCUGCACCAGCGAAUCCCAGCUCUUGACUCUGCAGGACGGGCCCUGGAAACUCCCUCAUGGGGCUUGGGGUGUCCUCCCCCCUGGACUGCGGCCACCCCGCACCCCUGCUCUUCUGGGCCAGCGCCUCCGCCUCCGGAAGCUUGCCCUUGCUGUCCCCUUUGCCUGGCGUGCCCUCCGCGUGCUCUGGCACACUUGUCACACGGCCCUCAUAUCCUUCAGGCUGCGGCUCAGGUGUCACCUCUGCGGCAGCCACAGUGGGGGCCCCACCGGGACCUCUCAGCCUUCAUGUUUCCCAGGCCUGCAAGCACCUUCCAUUCUCUGCCUGGGGGGCUCCCUCUGUCCUUAGAAGCUGCUAGGCCCAGUGGGGGAGUGGGAGGGUCCCCACCAAUGACUUUCAGGAGCUGGCAUCUCAGUCCCCCACGCCCUCACUCCCCAGGUGGGCGGGUAUCUCUGUGGUCUCUGAGGGCCCCCCCCCACAGGACCGAGGCCCAGCUUGCCCACAGGGUGACCUGCACAAGAGUACACCUCAAACUGGCCCAUUCUGUCACCCCCCCUUCCCAGCCCCCAGCAAGCACUUCCCAUGAUCCCCCCGACAUCCUCGCCCUGGACUUGGCUUCCGGAUGAUUCACACCAGAACACGUCCCUGGAGGCCUUCCCUCCCUCCCCCCCACCCCAUCACCCUGUACCUGUAGGCGAUUGAACUGUCGCCCCAGAAAACAUGUGUCCACAUCCUAACCCCUAGGACCUGAGAAUGUGACCUGAUUUGGAAAAAGGGGGUUUUGUGGAUGAAAUUAACCAUCUAAAGAUGAGAGCAUCCUGGAUUACACAGGUGGGCCCUAUAUCCAGCGACUGGUGUCCUCAUAGGAAGAGAGGAGCAGAGAGAGGGAAGAAUAGGUGGAGACACGGAGAGACACGGGAGGGAAGGCCACGUGGAGACGGAGCGGGAGGGGGCCACGGAUCCACGGCAGCCCCGGAAACGGGGAGAGCAGCCCCUCCAGAGCCACCAUGGGGAACCCGCCCUGCCGCCUGACACCUUAACUUCAGACUCCAGCCUCUAAGCCAGAAGAGAAUAAAUUCUCAUUAUUUUAAGUCCCUCCUCCCUCCAGUUUGUGACAAUUUGUCAUGUCCGCCAGAGGAAGCAAACACAGCAUCUGAACAGGUGCGCCCCACGUAUCCUGACUCCCUGGACAUGUCGCUCAGUUGAGCAUCUUCAUCUGCAAGGAUCCAGGUGACUUCCUUGCUUCGGGCCCGGUCCUCCGCUGGAAGGAAGGCCGGAGGCGGGACUCAGGCUGCAGCAUUUUUUGGAAGUUCCUCCAGACGAUGCUGAUGCGGGUGCCCAGGGUUGAGAAGCUCUGAUUUGGGGGCGAGGGCGAGAGGCCAAGAUGGGGUCAGCGUUGCCAAGUGACCAACGGUCCCAGUUUGCCCAGACUGAGGGGUCUGCCCAGGAUGUGAGACUUGCAGGUGCUAAACCCAAGGCCGCCCCAGGGAGGCAGGAGGAGUCGGGAGCACUUCCCCAAGCCCCCUGGUGGGGCACUCCGCACAGCCACCCCACUCCGCCUUGGCCACUCUUGAAGGACGGGAUCCCCACCGUCUAGAGGAGAGGCCCUUGG